rnacentral:rRNA from 1 species
UACGAAGGGGGCUAGCGUUGCUCGGAAUCACUGGGCGUAAAGCGCACGUAGGCGGCUUCUUAAGUCAGGGGUGAAAUCCUGGAGCUCAACUCCAGAACUGCCUUUGAUACUGAGGAGCUCGAGUCCGGGAGAGGUGAGUGGAACUCCGAGUGUAGAGGUGAAAUUCGUAGAUAUUCGGAAGAACACCAGUGGCGAAGGCGGCUCACUGGCCCGGUACUGACGCUGAGGUGCGAAAGCUAGGGGAGCGAACUGG